GAUGAACGCUGGCGGCGUGCCUAAUACAUGCAAGUCGAGCGAACGGACGAGAAGCUUGCUUCUCUGAUGUUAGCGGCGGACGGGUGAGUAACACGUGGAUAACCUACCUAUAAGACUGGGAUAACUUCGGGAAACCGGAGCUAAUACCGGAUGAUAUUUUGAACCGCAUGGUUCAAAAGUGAAAGACGGUCUUGCUGUCACUUAUAGAUGGAUCCGCGCUGCAUUAGCUAGUUGGUAAGGUAACGGCUUACCAAGGCAACGAUGCAUAGCCGACCUGAGAGGGUGAUCGACCACACUGGAACUGAGACACGGUCCAGACUCCUACGGGAGGCAGCAGUAGGGAAUCUUCCGCAAUGGGCGAAAGCCUGACGGAGCAACGCCGCGUGAGUGAUGAAGGUCUUCGGAUCGUAAAACUCUGUUAUUAGGGAAGAACAUAUGUGUAAGUAACUGUGCACAUCUUGACGGUACCUAAUCAGAAAGCCAGGGCUAACUACGUG
rnacentral:rRNA from 1 species